GCCCCGUUCGUCCAGUGGCCUAGGACGCCGGCCUUUCACGCCGGUAACACGGGUUCGAAUCCCGUACGGGGUG
rnacentral:tRNA from 1 species